rnacentral:rRNA from 1 species
GUGCCAGCAGCCGCGGUAAUACGAGGGGGGCAAGUGUUGUUCGGAAUCACUGGGCGUAAAGGGAGCGUAGGCGGAUGUUUAAGUCGGGUGUUUAAAACCGGGGCCCAACCCCGGAGCGGCACCCGAAACUGGGCAUCUUGAAUAGGUCAGAGGCUGGUGGAAUUGGAGGUGUAGCGGUGGAAUGCGUAGAGAUCUCCAAGAACACCUAUUGCGAAGGCAGCCAGCUGGGACCAUAUUGACGCUGAGGCUCGAAAGCAUGGGGAGCAAACAGGAUUAGAUACCCCAGUAGUCC